rnacentral:rRNA from 1 species
AUGGCAAGCACGGUGGAGUCGCCGACGAGCUCGUGCGUGUCGUCGGACACGGAGGAGGAGGCCGCGGCGGUGACGAAGCCGAUGGUGGUGGUGGGGUGCCCGCAGUGCCUCAUGUACGUGAUGCUGUCGGGGGCGGCCGAGGAGCAGCCCAGGUGCCCCCGGUGCAAGAGCCCCGUGCUGCUGCACUUCCUCCACGGCGCCGCCGCCGACGUCGCCAGCACCAACAGGCAGCAGCCCAGCAAGAGCUAG